rnacentral:rRNA from 1 species
AGCAGCCGCCGCGGGAAUACGUAGGGUGCGAGCGUUGUCCGGAAUUAUUGGGCGUAAAGGGCUCGUAGGCGGUUUGUCGCGUCGGGAGUGAAAACACUGGGCUUAACCGAGUGCUUGCUUUCGAUACGGGCAGACUAGAGGUAUUCAGGGGAGAACGGAAUUCCUGGUGCAGCGGUGAAAUGCGCAGAUAUCAGGAGGAACACCGGUGGCGAAGGCGGUUCUCUGGGAAUAUCCUGACGCUGAGGAGCGAAAGUGUGGGGAGCGAACAGGAUUAGAUACCCCGGUAGUCCCUGUCUCUUAUAC